rnacentral:lncRNA from 1 species
GUGAUAAUUCUGGAAGGACCAUAUUGACAUAAUCUGUAAGGAGGCAACUCUUGUUCAGAAGUGAUAGUCAAAAUGGAAUCUGGAAAUGUUUCAAAGUUAGAAUUUUCAAUCUGUUUAAGAUUAGGAAACUUAAUGCAAGAAGGAUGUUUCCAAGGAGCUGAUCUCCUUUGGAAUACUCUGUAAUGAUUGUUGUCAAGUCUUUCUGAUUUUGUGCAUAAUCAUUACAAGAGGAUCAAUGCAUAUAAGUUUAGAAUCUAACAGAUUCAAGUAAAUGACAUGAAUUUGGAAUUCAUGUAUUUGUAGUAAGGGUUUACAUGAAUUUGGAAUUCAUGUAUUUGUAGUAAGGGUUUGGGAGUGUGAAAAGAGAAUCAUUGAAGUUAUCUUCAAUGGAUCUAGUUCACAACGUAAAGAUCAUAGACAAACAUAGUAUGCAUACUUAGUGUAUGGCAUGACUAGUGUUUAGAAAACAUAGUGUACAUGCUUGGAGCAUGGGACAACUAUUGUUUUAAAUUCAAGAAUAAAGUUGAUAGCUGAAACAGUAUACAAUGAAUAAUGUGUAAUCAUAUGGUGAUAAAUAAAAG